rnacentral:snoRNA from 15 species
UUACAAUGAUGUUUAACGAAUGUCUGACCUGAAGAGAGCAUGUAGACAAAUUUAACACUGAAAAG